AGUGAACGCUGGCGGUAGGCCUAACACAUGCAAGUCGAACGGCAGCACAGUAAGAGCUUGCUCUUACGGGUGGCGAGUGGCGGACGGGUGAGGAAUACAUCGGAAUCUACUUUUUCGUGGGGGAUAACGUAGGGAAACUUACGCUAAUACCGCAUACGACCUACGGGUGAAAGCAGGGGAUCUUCGGACCUUGCGCGAUUGAAUGAGCCGAUGUCGGAUUAGCUAGUUGGCGGGGUAAAGGCCCACCAAGGCGACGAUCCGUAGCUGGUCUGAGAGGAUGAUCAGCCACACUGGAACUGAGACACGGUCCAGACUACUACGGGAGGGAGCAGUGGGGAAUAUUGGACAAGGGGCGCAAGCCUGAUCCAGCCAUACCGCGUGGGUGAAGAAGGCCUGCGGGUUGUAAAGCCCUUUUGUUGGGAAAGAAAAGCAGCAGGUUAAUACCCCGCUGUUCUGACGGUACCCAAAGAAUAAGCACCGGCUAACUUCGUG
rnacentral:rRNA from 1 species